AAUCAAAAACCGUUCAGCUAAUCGUCUGAAUCAUUUGGUUCUGAUUACAUUAAUCGUCACGAUUUGUCUGGCGACUUUGCUGAUGGUGCCUUUGCUAGGAACGAUAAAAAAAGAUUUCUGUAAUACAGGAUGAAUGAUUUUAGAAAAAAAUGGAAAUUUUCGCGCAUCUGAAUGUAGGGUGUCUCGAGUGAAGCGUCAGUGUGUCUCAACUUCUCUUUUGUUAUAGCAUCAUUUUAUUGACCAGCAAAAAUAUUUAGAAAAGUAAUGUUUGAAAAUGUUAAAACCCGUGAAUCAUAACACAAAAUGCGUGCUCAAACUACAUCGGUAGGUAGAGAGUGCUAUGUCUCCAUAGAACAUUCUUUCGCACCUGGGAUCGCAGCACCGGAGGAGCAGGUGCUGCAAGCAGCGAAAAAAACGAUUCCGGAGUAAAUCAUGAUUGUUUGUUCCGGAUGUUGGUCAAAUUGUUCCAGGUCAGCCGAAAGAAAAACGCGAAGAAUUAAGAAAAAACGCUUUCUUCAGAACCACCACAGGUUCCAGCUCGGAAGGUUAAACAUUCGGAUCUGGAUUUCGGUUUCUCUUGAAUAGACUUAUUUGUACUCGUUCUGGUCUUCAUCAUCCAUCAUCUUCAUCUGAUAACAAACAACGUGUCAUCCGAUGUAAACAGCUUCAAUAGAAUCAUAAAAAAGUGGAAGGAAAAGUUUUUAUCGCGGUCUGCAUGUAAUAUUUAAUUAACAGUUUUGCUUGAAAUUACAGUAAGGUUUGUACGUACACACAGUGCCGCUUUCCUAUGUGGCUAGGUAGUAGUGGCGGAAUGCAUGACUGCGGGUUUCAAUCCGUCGCUUCCGAAAUAUCGAAUCUCACAGAGCAAUAGGAUUUAGCCUGAGCUACAGUGCGGUCCAGAGACGUUGCAGGCAGAGGCGGAUGUGUUGGAUUGAAAACAGUAGCCGGGAUUGAUGGCAGUGGCUGUCAUAGUUCAAAUAGUGCCACGGUAAUUUGUGUAUUCAAACAAUCAAUUUUGCUGCCAAUCGACAAAAAUAUAAGUAGUGGAUUGACAGCGCUGAAUGCAAAAAUUGAUCUCAACGGUGAGGUGCUCGGAACCGAAGAACUUGUUCUGCGAGCUGCGAUUAUCUCCAGUGGAAUCCAGACAGUGUAAGCACUGGUUAAUGUUUUGUGAAACCCUGCGUACCUGGGGAGUUAUGGUCAAAACCACCGUCACGGCGCCACCGCCCACCGAGCUGGUUCCACAGUGCAUGCCCAGCAUGUCCCGAUACGCUUGCCACCGAUUGACUGCAUCGAUGAAACAACCACCCUGAACGACCAAUCUAACGAAGACCUAGUCUCUAAAAACUUUUUCCUGGAGAAAAGAAAGGUCCAUCAAAAAUUGAGUGUGGUUACACUAUUUACAGAGCAUAAGCGCCAGAAAAAACCGAAAUUUUAAGUUCUGACAGGAGCGUCUGCUUCUAAAUGUUUCACAUUGCUCGAAAGUUGUCAGCGUGCUAAAAGCUUGCCUUGAUAAAAGACGCGAAGAAAACCUUGCCAAAAGCUACUUAGUACGACAUCUUUCCGAAGCAACUCCUUUACCGGAAAUGCCGUCUAAAAAUUGAACUAGUCAGAUGCAAUUAAGUCACCAUCUAACCUGCUAUUCUGUUUUUUCGAACAUCCCAAAGAUGCGAGUAAAAACAACAUAAUAUGCAACGAUGGAAUAGAAGGGUCACAUGAAAAAUUUCAAUGAGGUGUUUGUAAAUUUUAUAUUUAUAAAUUUUCGAAUGUUUCAUCAGCAAUGUUGAAGAUUAAUUUGUUUUUAUCAACGAGCAAUUGCAAUUUUUCAUUUCAUUGUUGAAUUCAGGAUAAAUUUAAGAUAUCAGGAUGUUUAAUUUAUGCUUCGAAGAUAAUUUAGUAAUUUAGUCUGUUAAUAUGUCAAAUCAUAUUUUUAAUUCCUCAAUCAAAAUCAGUUGACGAAGUAACAUCCCAUAAUCAUUUCCACAUAAAUAAGUUUGAAUCAGAGUUGACCAGGAAAAAUAGUAGCAGAAAUCAGGUUUUUCGAGAAUAAAAUAUGAUAUAAUUCAAAAUGCCAAACCAAAAUAACAAAAUCUAUUUUAAGAAGAUUUCAGAACCAAAUGUUUGUUUAUUCAAAGUGAAAAUUUGAAUUUGAUGUAUCUUUUUUUUUAUUGGAAUCAAAAAAUGGUUUUAUGGUUUAGUACUUUGUAAAAUGUUUUUGGAAAUUGUUAGAUAAAAAAAUGUACUAUAGGAAGUACAAUACAUACAAACUUAAUUAAAAGAUUAUGUAAAGCAUUAGGGAAUGUUGCUGAACGUAUAGAUCGGCUUCGAAAGCUCGUUUGCAUCUCACGAAGCCUAGAAAUGUUAGUCAAAUCUUAAUUUAUUUACUAGUGUUAAAACUACAGGAAAAAUUAAUGUAACAACUUAUAAAACGACUUUUGUAAUAAACUCUGGGAAAAACACAAA